UAUUAGUUUUUCUCUGAUUUAGGCUUAGACCAGUAAAGUUGUUAAAUUGUUAAAUUUAUGUAUUUUAAAUUUAUUUACGUAGUUUAGUUAAGACAAUGUAAAAUUUAAUUAGUGUAAAUUUGUUUAGACUUUCAAUAUUAUGUGUUGCUUCUCUUAAAUGAGAUAAAAACCCAAGGAUGCAAAAAACUUUAUAUAAAAUAGUGUGAAGAAGAAGUAGUAACUGAAAUGAACAGCAUAAUAGAAUUUGAUAAGUUUGACUCAGCACUUGACAAUGUUUCAUCUAGUAACUCAGUAGUAUCUCUGCAGUUGUAAAUUGCUAAAUACUGAUUUGACAGAAACAAAGAGUUCAAAAUAUUAGUGGUAAGAACUGUCAAAAACUUGUGAUAGCUAUGAAGAAGAGAUUUAUGACAAAUUCGCUCAUGGCCAAAUCUAAUAUGGCAGCUGGAAAAGGCAAAGGAUCUUUUUAGCCUAACUAAGCUAUACAACUUAAUAAAAGGUAC